rnacentral:rRNA from 1 species
GAAUAAUUAAGUAUUGUUGGUUUAGCAGUUAAAUUUAUUUUAUCAUUUUAAUUUGAAAUUUUUAGGUGAAAUUUUAAUUUUGUUAAAAGUUGAUUUUUUGAAGCUGUGAAAUUUAUUUUUAAGACGAGGAUUAGAUACCCUUUUAUGUUAAAUGUAAAUGAAUUAACCAGGGUAGUAAUAGUUAUGUUCUUGAAACCCAAAGAAUUUGGCGGUAUUCUAUUCUUUUUAGAGGAGCCUGUCCUGUAAUUGAUAGUCCACGAUGGUGAGUUACUUAUUCUUGUAUUCAUUUUGUAUACCUCCGUCAUCAGAGUAUCUUUUUAGAGUGAAUGUUCUAAAUAUAUUAAAUAUAUUAUGUCAGGUCAAGGUGCAAUUUAUGGAUAAGUAGAGAUGGGCUACAAUAAAAUUGUUUAUAUGGAUUAUUAAUUUUAUUAUUAUUAUGAAGGUGGAUUUAAAAGUAAAUUCAUGUUCCUUCUUGAUUUGAUUUUAGCUCUAGAAUAUGCACACAUCGCCCGUCGCUCUUAUUUUAAAAUAAGAUAAGUCGUAACAUAGUAGGAGUACCGGAAGGUGUUCCUAGGAAGGUAA